rnacentral:rRNA from 1 species
AUGGAGUGCUCCAGCCCACUCCUCGGGUCACCUAGCAGCAGCAGCCAUGCCGGGAGUCGUGAGCUGGAGGUGAUUCUGAGCAACACGGCGGCAUCGUGGGGGCGUCGGGCAUGGGCGGGCGCCGCGGUGGAGCUGCCGCUCCUGCUGCGGCUGGCGCUGCCGGCCGUGGCUGUGUACCUCAUCAACUACCUCAUGUCCAUGUCCACGCAGAUAUUCUGUGGGCAGCUCGGCAACCUGGAGCUCGCGGCGGCGUCGCUGGGGAACACGGGCAUCCAGGUCUUCUCAUACGGCCUCAUGCUUGGGAUGGGCAGCGCGGUGGAGACUCUAUGUGGACAAGCCUACGGCGCGCACAAGUACGAGAUGCUGGGCGUGUACCUGCAGCGCUCCACGAUCCUCCUUGCUGCCACCGGCGUCCCCCUCGCCAUCAUAUACGUCUACUCGCGCCCCAUCCUCCUCCUCCUCGGUGAGUCAGAGCGCAUCGCCGCGGCCGCUGCCGUCUUUGUCUACGGCCUCAUCCCACAGAUCUUCGCCUACGCGACCAACUUCCCGAUCCAGAAGUUCCUCCAGGCGCAGAGCAUCGUGGCGCCCAGCGCCUGCAUAGCGGCCGCCACGCUGCUGCUCCACCUGGCGCUAAGCUGGCUGGCGGUCUACAAGCUCGGCCUCGGCCUCCUGGGCGCCUCCCUGGUGCUUAGCCUCAGCUGGUGGCUCAUCGCGCUUGCCCAGUUCGCCUACAUCUUGGCCGCCCCUAGGUGCAGGGAGACCUGGACAGGGUUCACCACGCAGGCUUUCGCCGGCUUGUGCGGCUUCGCCAAGCUCUCCGCCGCGUCUGCGGUCAUGCUCUGCCUAGAGACGUGGUACUUCCAGGUCAUGGUGCUUAUCGCCGGUCUUCUCCCCAACCCUGAGCUCUCUCUCGAUUCCCUCUCCGUCUGCAUGGCCAUAUUCGGAUGGGUCUACACCAUCUCCAUCGGGUUCAACGCGGCAGCAAGCGUUCGCGUGGGGAACGAGCUUGGUGCCGGCAACCCGAGGGCGGCAGCUUUCUCAGUCGUCAUGUCGACAACAAUGUCGUUCAUUCUGGCUGUUGUCGCGGCAGUCAUUGUGUUGUGCCUCCGUGAUCGCAUUGCCUACGUCUUCACAGGUGGCAAAAACGUUGCGGAAGCAGUGUCCGACCUCUGCCCGCUGCUUGCCAUCACCCUCAUCCUCAAUGGCGUUCAACCCGUGCUUUCUGGUGUGGCCGUGGGGUGCGGUUGGCAGGUGUUUGUGGCGUACGUGAAUGUUGGGUGCUACUAUUUCGUUGGCAUGCCGCUUGGCUUAUUCCUUGGUUUCUAUCUUGGUCUGGGCGCAAAGGGGGUUUGGAGUGGCAUGGUAAUCGGCGGAACACUACUACAAACACUCAUCCUAUUAUGGGUGACCUUCAGGACUGACUGGCAACAUGAGGUGGAGAAGGCGCAUGAGAGGAUUGCCAUGUGGGAAGACAAGAAAAAAUCAUUGCAGCAGGAUUGA